UAUAAGUAAUCGAAGAUUUCCAGAAACUGUAUCCUCAUACAGCUGCCACUUCCUUUAUUGAAAAAUGGAAAAUUACCACGGAAAAAUUGCUGGAAAUUUACAAAGACGAUUUGAAAGAUUCAGAAUGUCUAAAGCUUUUGGAGAAAGUUAAAGCGGAGGACUUACCUGAAGAUAUCCGAGAUUUUUGCAUUUUUCAAAUGCUGCAUGGAAUUUUAAAGCCGGAUAUCGGUAAGGUAAAUGGUAAAAUGGUCAAGCAUACUAUUAAGGACAGUCAGGAAGGACUUAUGCUGGAAAUCAGGGACAUGUCUGAGUUAAAGAAAAAACUUGACAAGAGAUAUGAGGCAGCGGCUGCGAAUAAAAAUUCUGUCCAGCCUUUCAUCAUCAUUGAAAAUAAAUCAAUGAAAAAGGCCUCAAUAUAUCAUGACGGUAUUCACAUUGGAGCAGGAAAUUUUUUAGAGGCAUUGAAGUGCCUCAUUAUCACAUACUUCGUCUUCGACAUAAAAUACCCAGAACCAAGCAAGAAAGUUUGUAACUUUCUUGCAGAGUUCUUUUUCGACAUCAAAGACGAAAAAACUAAUGCACAAGUCAAAGCAUUGUGUAAAAAAUUAAAUGCCUAGCAAAUAAAGUUACCCAAG